rnacentral:rRNA from 1 species
GACGAACGCUGGCGGCGUGCCUAAUACAUGCAAGUAGAACGCUGAAGGAGGAGCUUGCUUCUCUGGAUGAGUUGCGAACGGGUGAGUAACGCGUAGGUAACCUGCCUGGUAGCGGGGGAUAACUAUUGGAAACGAUAGCUAAUACCGCAUAAGAGUAGAUGUUGCAUGACAUUUGCUUAAAAGGUGCAAUUGCAUCACUACCAGAUGGACCUGCGUUGUAUUAGCUAGUUGGUGGGGUAACGGCUCACCAAGGCGACGAUACAUAGCCGACCUGAGAGGGUGAUCGGCCACACUGGGACUGAGACACGGCCCAGACUCCUACGGGAGGCAGCAGUAGGGAAUCUUCGGCAAUGGACGGAAGGCUGACCGAGCAACGCCGCGUGAGUGAAGAAGGUUUUCGGAUCGUAAAGCUCUGUUGUAAGAGAAGAACGAGUGUGAGAGUGGAAAGUUCACACUGUGACGGUAUCUGACCAGAAAGGGACGGCUAACUACGUG